UACGUAGGGGGCGAGCGUUGUCCGGAUUUAUUGGGCGUAAAGGGCGCGUAGGCGGCUUGGCAAGUGGAUGGUGAAAUCCCUCGGCUUAACCGAGGAACUGCCGUCCAAACUGCUUUGCUUGAGACCGGGAGAGGUGAGUGGAAUUCCCAGUGUAGCGGUGAAAUGCGUAGAUAUUGGGAGGAACACCAGUGGCGAAGGCGGCUCACUGGACCGGUACUGACGCUGAUGCGCGAAAGCGUGGGGAGCAAACGGG
rnacentral:rRNA from 1 species